GAUGAACGCUAGCUGGAGGCUUAAUACAUGCAAGUCGAGCGGGAUUGGUAGCAAUACCAUGAGAGCGGCGCACGGGUGAGUAACGCGUACACGACCUACCUCUGACAGGGGGAUAGCCCUGGGAAACUGGGAUUAAUACCGCAUAUUAUUCUGAUUAAUAAAGGAUUGGAAUGAAAGUUCAGGCGGUCAGAGAUGGGUGUGCGUCUGAUUAGCUAGUUGGUAGGGUAACGGCCUACCAAGGCGAUGAUCAGUAGGGGGCGUGAGAGCGUGGUCCCCCACACGGGUACUGAGACACGGACCCGACUCCUACGGGAGGCAGCAGUAAGGAAUAUUGGACAAUGGCCGAAAGGCUGAUCCAGCCAUCCAGCGUGCAGGAAGAAGGCCCUAUGGGUUGUAAACUGCUUUUAUCAGGGAACAAUAACUCCGACGCGCUCGGGGCUUGAGGGUACCAUUAGAAUAAGCACCGGCUAACUCCGUGCCAGCAGCCGCGGUAAU
rnacentral:rRNA from 1 species